rnacentral:rRNA from 1 species
CCUUUUGGUGGUGAUUUAGUGCAGUAGAUUAACAAUGUUAUAUACAUGCGGGCUAUUCUCCACCGACAAGCAGUGUUCAACUGCGGGAAGUAAGGCAAUAACAGGUCUGUGAUGCCCUUAGAUGUCCUGGGCAGCACGCGCGCUACACUGACAAAGACAGCGGGUAUAGCUUGUCCGAGAGGAGAGGCGAAUCGCGAAGCUUUGUCGUGCUGGGGAUUGACGAUUGCAAUUAUUUGUCAUGAACGAGGAAUUCCUAGUAAGCGCAUGUCAUCAGCAAGCGCUGAUUACGUCCCUGCCCUUUGUACACACCGCCCGUCGCUACUACCGAUUGGAUGGGGUAGUGAGGCUGUUUGAGCUUGGGAGAUUGUGGUGCAAACCAUGAUUUCUCUGCAAAGACAGCCAAACUUGCUCAUCUAGAGGAAGUAAAAGUCG